rnacentral:misc_RNA from 1 species
AGGGUGACCCAAUGCACAAAGCAUUCCACAUUUGUGGGCUCUGGGGUUGUACCCAGAUGUAGCAUUACCCUGCUUUGCAGGGAGACUGUUUCUAUUAGCAUCACACAUCAAUGCUACACAAAAUUAAAGUUCACAUAUUAUCAUACUUUCACAUGGCACGAAGCCCAAACAGAAGCUGUUCACAAACAGAAAGGCAUCGGCCUUGAAUCAACAAACUGAUAUAGAUUAUAGCGCAAAGUUUAAAAAGAAGCAGCAGCUCUGUAUUUGCUAUCUGUAAGGAUUCAAAUGGAACAACUGGAUAGCAGCAAAACUAACACUGCAUUUCCUAGGAUUAGUAAAUCAUGUUUAACACCCCACUAAAUGUUAGGAUGAAAUAGCAGCAGCAAUACAUAGCUGGAUGUUCUUACAAAUUAUAUACUCAUUUGACAUUCAAGGAUACAAAAGAAUACAAACUGAUAAAUCUCUUAACAUUUCCAAAUGGGGCUAUACAACCAAUCUAUAGUUAACACUGCUUAGGAAAUUCAAUGAGAAAGAAAAGUCAGGACAGUCCAUGGUCUAACAAAUUGUUAUAUCUACAAGUUAAGAAAGAUGGUAGCAAUGGAACUCAACGUACUUACAUUUUUUCCACUAGCAGAUUAUAUAGGACGUUCCUCACCUGACCUGCAGAUAAGGUAUGCAAAAUUAUAAAAAAUAAUAUUUAUAAUAUUCAGCAUAUGUUAACACAGGCUGAUGGGUUUAUUUAGCAGACACCACAUCAAAGUUUCCUUCCCAGUUCCAUCCGACAGGCUGAUGGGCAUCUACUCUUUCCUUCUCAGUCUUGUUAAUAGCUAUGAAAGGGACCUAAAAUGACUCCAAAUCAGGGUCUCUCCCUCGUACAGAUACUUCCUACAUUAUCAACCUACGUAAAAUGACACUAAAACUUUGAACUUACAUGCAAGCACAAACUACCUAUUUAUUUGCUCUAACAAUCUAGGAAUGCAAAUAAAAUUCGCCUCCAUUGCAUCCUCUAGCAAGAAGAAAUUAUUAUGCGUCAGAGGCAUUCUUAUGGCGAUUUCCGAUUGUGUGGCAAAGAAAUGUGUCACAGAACUGCACUUUUUAAUUGGAUAGAGAACCUUCUUCCAAAUUUAAUGAACCCAGAUUUAUAUGUGGUAAUGGAUAACAUUGUUUUUGUUGAUCUUUAUCCCACCUAAAAAAUUCCUUUCCUCAUUGUGACAUCAUUUGUUCUAGAGGAUAUUCUAAAUUAAAGGCAUCUCGAGUAACAAAUAGAAACAGAUAAUAAGAACUCUAGUAGCAAUUCUAGUGCCUUAUGCAUCAAAAUAUAUUACACAAAACUAGUGCUACACAAGAGACACAAAUAAUAGGUUAAUAUCCAGUAGGUUAGUUGAAAACAGCCAGCUUUUCUGCAAUCACCCUACUUUAGCAAACUACCUCCCCCUACAAUCAUAAAACUAACUUAAGAUAGAGAGCAUCAAAAGCCCCACAUGAACAUCAACAGUUACAGGAAAGAAGAUUGAUAAGAUCAUCAAGUUCUAACUAGGUGCUAGAAAGGUCUACAACUACUCCAAUGAGAAGAGCAAUUACAGUAUUAUAAACCAGGAUGGCAAUCUCUAAAGGGCAUGGAAAUUCAAAAGAUAGCAGAUCACCGAAAAAAAAAUGACACAGAAGAUUGAAAAAAUUAAAACUAAAACUAUAAAUAUAGAAUCAAUAACAUAAAAUAGGGAAAUAAAUAAAAUAAAAUAGGGCAAUAAAUAAAGAAAAAUAAAAGCAUUACGAACUCAACUAAAUAAACAAACCGAGUUCAAUUACCUCAGGUUCAGAAACAUAACAAGAAAAUAGCUGAGGUUGACAAUGCCAAAAUAUGAACCUCACAUAUACUUUAUCUGUGCAAAAAACACUAAAGACUUCAUAUUGCAGAAUCAAUACACACAUGCUUCCUGAAGUUAAAGCUUCUCAGUCCCUAUUCUUGUAAUUGAGUUACUCCUAACUAAUUUUUAAAUCCUUAUACAGUGUUUAUGCCAUGCAAUCCCUGGGGAAAGAAAAAUGUGAAAUUCCCAAUGCCAUUCUGCAUGGAAAUUUUGUAAUUCUAGAGCAUUUCUCCUAUCCUUUUCCCUUCCAUGUUUGUGAAAAGUCAGUAACUCAUCACUUCCCUUGUCAACUUGCCACCAUCUUUUUCAACUGAAGAACUUAUUAUAGAAUAUGUCUUUAUUGCUACUUUUUUUUUUACUUUGCCGAACCGAACAGGAGACUCAGUAAAAACUGCCAUAGUAAUCUAACUUAGGAGAUCCUCCACAAAGGGAGAUAAUAAGCACUUUGAGUUUCUUUAGCAAGUUUCAAUUAGCAUGUCAUGAACCCAUGGUGAAUAUUAUGUAUUCAAUCAUAUGAAAGAAUAUUUUCACUGAACCAAACAGUAUUAAUCAGAGAAGGAACACUGUUUCUAUAAAUGCCACCAUUGCAAAGAAAGCUGAAUAAAAGGAGAAAACGCUAAAAUCAAUAUGCUAUGCAUCACAUGGUUCACAUCAUACAGAUUAUAAUUUUUUUUUUUUUAAUUAGUUCAGAAAUGAAGGAUACAAUAGUUCCGAUGAUUCUAGUUAUUAAAUCAUCAUUCAGCUCCUUCUUCCUCACUCACACACUGCAUCACAUCAUAAAGAGAGUAAUUUUUUUUUAAGCUACCUCAAAAAUGUUGAAUACAAUCAUUCUGAUAAUUGUAGUUGUUAAAUCAUCAUAGGGCAUUCUCUCCCACCUAUA